GUAGGUGGCAAGCGUUGUCCGGAAUUAUUGGGCGUAAAGCGCGCGCAGGCGGUUCUUUAAGUCUGAUGUGAAAGCCCACGGCUCAACCGUGGAGGGUCAUUGGAAACUGGAGAACUUGAGUACAGAAGAGGAAAGCGGAAUUCCACGUGUAGCGGUGAAAUGCGUAGAGAUGUGGAGGAACACCAGUGGCGAAGGCGGCUUUCUGGUCUGUAACUGACGCUGAGACGCGAAAGCGUGGGGAGCAAACAGGGAUUAGAUACCCUGGUAGUCCACGCCGUAAACGAUGAGUGCUAAUGUUAGGGGGUUUCCGCCCCCUUAGUGCUGCAGCUAACGCAUUAAGCACUCCGCCUGGGGAGUACGGCCGCAAGGCUG
rnacentral:rRNA from 1 species